rnacentral:rRNA from 1 species
UACGAAGGGGGCUAGCGUUGUUCGGAAUCACUGGGCGUAAAGGGUGCGUAGGCGGGUCUUUAAGUCAGGGGUGAAAUCCUGGAGCUCAACUCCAGAACUGCCUUUGAUACUGAGGAUCUUGAGUAUGGGAGAGGUGAGUGGAACUGCGAGUGUAGAGGUGAAAUUCGUAGAUAUUCGCAAGAACACCAGUGGCGAAGGCGGCUCACUGGCCCAUUACUGACGCUGAGGCACGAAAGCGUGGGGAGCAAACAGG